rfam:Yarrowia lipolytica strain CLIB122 chromosome B complete sequence.
GGUCCUAUGGCACAGCGGUAGCGCGUGAGAUUGCAAAUCUUAAGGUCCCGAGUUCGAAUCUCGGUGGGACCU